rnacentral:lncRNA from 1 species
AUAAAUCUGGCAGUCCAAGGGGUGAAUGGAUGUGGGGUUCUGCACAUGCACGCAUGAAUGGGAAAUGGAAAUCAGAGACACCACAGUUUGGAGGCAGUUUUAAGCGAUAGUGACCUGAACCCAAGGAUGGUCACUGUAAGUCGAGAGAAAUGGUUCAAUUUUAGAGCCAUGUGAAAGGUAGGAAGGUCAAGAUUUAGUAACUGGUUGAAUGAGGGAGGAAUUAAGAGUGAUGGAAGUGAUACACAGGUUUGGCCAGUGGGAUUGCUCAUGGAAAUAAGCUUUACAUUGGACAUAUUGAGUUGGAUGUUAUCUUGAGGAAUAUUUAGGUUAAUGGAUACGGUAUGUAGCUGGAUGUAUUCUAGGCAAUAAAACAGAACCAGGAAGCCAUGGACACAAGUACUGACCCUGAUCCAUCCAUUCCAUUUAAUCUCUUACUUAUCUACUUAUUUCAUCUUAGCCUCUUUUAGGGAAAAAUCCACUCCUAUCCUAUCCCUGUACUGUCUCUUGUUCCAAGCCUUUGUUGGUGAUCUAAAAAUAAUUUCACUUAUAAAUGGCACAAUGUUAUCUUUUCAUAUUCAUCUCAUAUUGACUUGUUUUCUCAUUAUGCUCUUGGCAUCUUUCCUCUCUCUCCUGCAUAAGUCUGUGUGUUUUAUCUGUCUCAGAGGAAUUCCUUCCUUCCUUCUGGAACUUCCACAGCUAUUGGCUCUGGUUUCCUUGGCAACCUCUGCCUCUCUGAUUUUUUUCUGAUUAUUUAAGAGAGACCUGACUAAAUCACUAAUAAUCCCUGAUCAGAAAUAGGAGGGAAAAAAAGAGAGAGUGCCCAACGUUGCCUCAGAGAAAGGAAGGGGGAAGAUUGAGAGGAAACAGGAAAAUACUGAGACCUAGAGAGAUGGAUGUAAAAUGUGUAAGGAAGGGAUUGGACAGGGUCCUUUAAUGAGUGUCAACUGCCAGACUUCUGUGGUUGUGGGCCCUCCCUCUGGACCUGAAGGAGGGAGCACCUGGCUCCCGUUACUGCUGGCAGCUGUCUUGUUCCCGUGGAAGCCGCCUCUGGACCAUCCUCCAAACACCUUGAGUCACCUAGAAACUGACAUGCGGUUUAGACCAGGCCGUUCUUGAAGACGUAUCUCUGCCCCUUUCUAUUAUGUAAAUCAAUAAAUCCAUUUGAUUUAAGCCUGUUUCA